AGUGAGACCCGCAGGCGGAGCUCUCCCGAUACCGCGGGGCGUGCGGCUGUCGGCCAAUCCUGUCGCCCGGUCGCUUUCCGUCCUGGCUAACGGGAGCGGCUUCCAGUGCUGGCGGAGGUGCCGCUCGAGAGGCACCCUCCGGGGCCUCUCUGUGCUGUGCACCGUCCAGGCCUCGGGGUGUGUGUGGAACGCCCCUGUGUUCUUCCCCUCUGCCGGUGACCGGGGACUCCGGGUAGGCGCCAGCGUCAAGGCUGCACCACUGAACGCACCAGCGCACUCUGGGCGGGUCCCCGGGUCUCUGGGCAACAGCCUGGUGUAUGCUGAAGAUGCAAAACUCUCCCAGGAAAGCGGAGCUCUGACGCCACCACUUUCGGUGGCAUGCGUGUGUGCCACGUAACCUCAGCAGAAGCACAAGUCACAGGAUUUUAACCACCUCUUCUCAGGGCUCCAGACUUGGCACAACAAUAGCACAGCCAGGCUGGAGAGAUGACUCAUCAGUUAAGAGCAUUGGCUGAUUACCUUGUCCUGCUUGGCUGAGACUUGACCUGACUAGGGACAUGGAAGGGAUGAAAGAACAAACAAGAAAAGCUGGGAUCAGGCGGCUGUGCACACUGGGGAGGAACUGGGAUCAGGUGGCUGUGCACACUGGGGUGGAGCUGGGAUCAGGUGGCUGUGCACACUGGGACAGCUGGGAUCAGGUGGCUGUGCACACUGGGACAGCUGGGAUCAGGUGGCUGUGCACACUGGGGUGGAGCUGGGAUCAGGUGGCUGUGCACACUGGGACAGCUGGGAUCAGGCGGCUGUGCACACUGGGGUGGAGCUGGGAUCAGGCGGCUGUGCACACUGGGGUGGAGCUGGGAUCAGGUGGCUGUGCACACUGGGACAGGGCUGGGAUCAGGUGGCUGUGCACACUGGGGUGGACCUGGGAUCAGGCGGCUGUGCACACUGGGGUGGAGCUGCACUGACUAUGGGAACCUAGGACCCCAGUGUGUUUACUGUUUGUAGCACAGAGGGAAGAGUUAGCUAGUCUAGGCAGGAGGUCUUGGUAGGCAGCAGUCUUCAGGCUGUAAAUGUCAGGGAGGAGGAAGCUACAGUUACUCAUUUUUUCACACUGGUCAGUUGUUCAUAAACAACCGUACUUGUACACAUUGUCAAUGUGCUGCACAGACAUUCAUAUACACAGAACAUUCAUAAACAUAAAAUCAAUAAGUAAAUUUAAAUUUUUUAUUUUUGAGAAUUUCAUACAUGUCUACUAUGAAACAUGAUUGUAUGUACUCCUUCCCAACACAUCCCACAAUGAACUUCAUGUCUUUUAUUUUAAUACUCAUUAAAUCCAGAUAACGCUGCCUAUAAAUGCAUGGCUGUGAGGGCAUCCGAUGGAGCAUGGGAAUCCUGUCAUUGGCCUCACUCGUACAAAGAAUGAUUCUCUUUCCCCAGAACCUAUCAACGCCAAUAGUUGCUCCGUAAGGGUGGGUCCCAGAGACCGUCUAUCCCGUUUAUGCUGGGAUUUGGGCUAGCUUGAUCUUGUGUUACCAGUUAUGAAUACACAGCACUGCAAUUACUUGCAUUUAUAUGCUUAUAUUCUCUCAGUUAAUAAAGGAAAGAGAUACAGUAACCAAAUGCAGAGAAAUCUAGAUCGAAAGAGAACUAAAGCAUAAUCAGGACACAAUUGGGAAACGUUUUAUGAACUAGAUGUGGAAUUCAAGGUGAGGUUUUUGUGUGGCAUCAGUGCUCUGGGUAGCGGAACAGGGGUCUUGCUCAUGAGAGGGUAGAGGAGUCUUUGGGGGUGAAGUUCACGGCAUCUGCACACCAGUCCCGAUGUUUAGUGGGAGGUGGCAGGUGUAGAGUGGUGACUUGGAGAGGCGAGGUGUGAAAAUUCCUGAAACGAGCUGACAAGUGUGUUGGCGGCCACUGCUUUAUUCGGGAAACUCAUCUGUAGGUUAAAAAUUUUCAGACUUGUAAAAUGGUUGUUUGUAAGAAUAAACAAAUGAUGCGGCAUAGGUUCAGGCUUGAUCCUGUGGUGGUACAGCAAUGGGUGGCCUUAGCAGAGAGACACAAAUGACCAUCCUAGAGAGGUCACUGUUGGCCUCUGACUGUGCUUCUCCACCUACCUUCUGGUAGGCUAGGCAUGGAAACGGAGGCUGUACACAGUCCUCACGGCCACAGGUGGGUGCCGACAGGCUAAUUCUUGGCUACCAACCCAGAACAUAGCAGAUGUUCCCUCCACUUAAUAAAGAACAUUGGCCUAAAAAUAAGUGACGUUAUCAUGGGGGUAACUGAAUCCACUGAAUUUAUUUUUAAAAUAAGAAUGUCCUAAAUUUUGUGUGCAAUGGGUUUGAAGAUUCAAGAACUAAUUUUGAUGUCCCAAUGAAAUACAGAUUCUUUAUUGUCUGUAACAUAUAGGCAGCCAUGGUCCUGGGUCACUGUACAGAGCUAAAAUACAUCUUUAAUGCAUGAGUGACUAUGAUGGAAAUCCUUCCUGGUUCAAAUAGUGUGUGAUUCAGAGACUUUUGGUAAUUUCAGACUCUGUGAAAAAAAUGAUUCAAUGAUGGUCUGAUAUGGGAAGUUGUUAAUAGUUAUCUAAGUCCAGUUCUGAAUCUAGUCCCAGCCAUGGGGUUUUCUCUACCACUGAGUAGGGCUCACCUGAGGGAGGUGGAGGUCUCCAAAUGGUUAUCCAUGGCCUAUCAUUUGCCUUUGCCAUUGCAUCAGACCAGGCUUGGGCUCACCUCCUCACACAGAGCACACGCGAGUCCCCCAGUCAUUUAGUGUGGGUCCUCCUAGGCCAGAUGUCCAUCAGUCCACCUCCAGAUGUGGGGCAAGCACGGCUGUCUAACCCCACCCCCACCCCCUGUGGCUGUGGAACAUUUGCGGUGAUGCCUAUCUGGCAGGAGCGGGGUACGAUGAGCAGGCUUUUGAAGGUUCCUUCUGCUCUGGUUCUGCCCUUGAUUUCCACUCCCCUGUCUGCUGUGAUGUGAACAGCCUCCACCACUCUCUCCUGCCUCCAGGAACUGAUCUGAGCUACUUCACCAUGCCUGCCCAAAGUGAUGGUGUGAAGACUUCUGAACCGGUUAGUCAAGGUUAAUCUUCCCCAGGGCUGCAGAGGUGGCUCCGCAGUUAAGAGCGCUUGCUGCUCUUUCAGAGGACCAGAGUUUGGUUCCCGGGACCCACAUUGGGCAGCUCACAUCUGCCUGCAACUCCAGCUCUAUGGGAUCUGGCGCCCUCUUCAGGCCUCUGGGGGCACCUGCACACAUGUGUACGCACACACACAUGCACACACACACACAAUUUUUUAAAAAUCUUUUAAAAAAUGAGUAACUCUUCUUCCUUAAUCUGUUUCCAUCAGGUAUUUUGGUUACAGCCACAGAACACGUAUAAAAAUUUACUGAGAGAAAUACCUCUGUGACAGAAAAUGAAGAGGUUGCUAUAAGAAAGCAGAGCUGUCAAAAGGCAGGACAAGUCUGGCUGUAACCAGUGAAGGGAAUCAGGAAGAAAAACUGAAGAAACACAUCCCAGACCGUCAUGCCGUAAGGGAGGGACAGCUGUUGGGAAGCCUCAGUCAGUGUCAAAAGCCAGCGUCAAAGAAGCCGUAGGAACAGGGGAAUCUUAGCACCUUCCCACCCAGCUAUCGGUUGAGAGAAACUUGUGGGAAGCAUGGCCUUGGCACACACAUGGCCAUGGAUCUCAGCGACAUUAGUUGGUCAAUUUAACUGGCUUUCCCAUGGGUGCUAUAGUUGGACAGAAUUUCUGUGGUAAGGUUUCACUGACAUGGUAUCAUGUCCUGAGGACAUAAACAAAUGUCUACUCACCCCAGAUAGUGAGCUAACAACCGACUAAAGUGUGAAUACAAUCAACAUCCAACUUAGGCAACCAGUGCGUUUUAUUGGGGUUACUUAUAGGGACAGAAAUGACUCAAAACAGCUGCAUCACCCAAAUUGACCCCCACCCCAGCAUGGAUGAAACCUCACAAAAGCUGGAGACCUGAAGCUUCCUGCACAGCCUGUAGAUAGCUCAACAGGCUGGAGAGUGUCCUUUCCUGGUGGCUCAGUCAUUCCGAGCCUCUUUGUCUCUCCGCAGUCCUUACUGCUUAUAUAUGGUUGGGGAGGGAGGAGCCUAGUGAAUAUGGUCAGUUUCAGGGACUUCCUGAAGUCAUUCAAUUAUUUACUUCUUGAACUUAAUGAGCUUCCCUGAAGGAUGGAAUGCUUCACCUCCCCUUUAACAUUCUGUGUCUUAAACUUCCCUCCAACAAGGAGGGUUUUAGUCUCAGGGGUCACUGCUGUUCAACAUAUGGGCACGUGUCUACUCACUGUACACCAACCACCCUCAUAUGGGCAGUUCUGCCUCCUAGGGGCAUUUCGGAAAUGUCUGUGGUUAGAGACAUAUGGAGAGGAUGUUAGAGAUCUUCUAAGAACUUUGGAUUUCACUACGACUGACAUAGAGAGCUAUCUGAGAAUUUGGAGUCUUCUUGACUGAUCUUAAAGAACUAGGCUGUAAGGGACACAAGAGUAGAAACAAGGAGAUCUGCCGGGAAGUGUUGUGAUUAUCAAAGGGAGAGGAGCCUGGGGUCAGGGAGAUAGGAGAUGGUGAUGCACCACUCACCUCUGAAUGUAGUUGUAAGAUAGAGCCACCAGGACUUGGAAAAGAUUGGUUAUAGGGUGUGAGAGGAAGUCUAGAGAUAAGGAUGACUGAUUGGAGCGUGGGCCCUUAGAGAGACGGAACUGAUAUUCUGCGGAUACAGGGAGGUUGAAUGUGGCAGGGAUUUUUGGAAGGUGGGAGGGGAGAAUAGAAAUUGAGCUAUGAACUUAUUAGUUCUGAAAUGCCUAUCUAGUCAUCUCGCUGGGGAUGAUGAGCUAGCAUUUGAAGUCUUUGUAGAGGAAGAGGUCUUCCCUGGGGUCUCACUUAACUAUUUCUCAUAGGAGGGUUUGCUCUGUGUUGGUUCCCCUCUGUGAUGCAGACUAAGAGGGGCUUUAUUACCUGAACCACGGCAAGAGGAAGAGGUGCAGUCACACCCUGGUAAUGAAAUACAGGUCUUAGCCAAAGUCAGACACGUGGUCACAGUGAAUUUUAAGAGGACGAGGAAGGGCUAUUCUGUUAGGUGUUUGGGAAAGAAGGACCAGAAAUGUGGGUAAAUAACACUAGCAUCUACUGGAUAUGGAGAUAUGUGAUGGGGAAUCACCACCACACAGGAAUUAAUGUCGUAGAAUGCUUUUUUAAUCAAUUAAUUUUUUUUUCCAGACAGGGUUUCUCUGUGUAGUUUUGGUGCCUGUCCUGGAGCUCACUCUGCAGACCAGGCUGGCCUCAAACUCACAGAGAUCUGCCUGUCUCUGCCUCCCGAGUGCUGGGAUUAAAAGCAUGUGCCACUGCCGCCCGCCCAGCUGCAGAAUAUUAUUUUAAGAUGUGUUAUAUUUGUUUAUGCUCUGGAACAUUUGUUGAAUGAUGUAAAGAUGUGUUGCAUUCUUUUAUGUUACAUUUGUUUAACUCUGGGAAGCUGUGUUACUUUGCCUGUUUAAAACACCUGAUGGUCUAAUAAAUGGCUAAUAGCAAGGCAGGAGAAUGGAUAGGCAGGGCUGGCAGGCAGAGAGAAUAAAUAGAAGGAGAAAUCUGGGAGGAAAAAAAGCAAGAGAACAGGAGAGGAGGAUGCUAGGGGCCAACCACCCAGCAACCCAGCCAGCCACAGAGUAAGAGUGAAAACAAGAUAUACGGAAGUAAGAAAAGCCCAGAGGCAAAAGGUAGAUGGGAUAAUUUAAAGUUAAGAAAAGCUGGCUAGAAACAAGUCAAGCUAAAGGCCGGGCAUUUAUAAUUAAGAAUACGCCUUGC